rnacentral:rRNA from 1 species
CCCCGCACAAGCAGCGGAGCGUGUGGUUUAAUUCGAUGCUACACGAAGAACCUUACCAGGGUUUGACAUACAAGUAGUAGGGAAAGGAAACUGGACCGACCCUUCGGGGAGCUUGUACAGGUGCUGCAUGGCUGUCGUCAGCUCGUGUCGUGAGAUGUUCGGUUAAGUCCGCUAACGAGCGCAACCCUCGCUGUGUGUUACAAGUGUCACACGGAACUGCCGGUCAUAAACCGGAGGAAGGUGGGGAUGACGUCAAGUCAGCAUGGCCUUUAUAGGUGGGGCUACACACGUCAUACAAUGGCCGGUACAGAGGGUAGCCAACCCGCGAGGGGGAGCCAAUCCCACAAAGCCGGUCGUAGUCCGGAUCGCAGUCUGCAACUCGACUGCGUGAAGUCGGAAUCGCUAGUAAUCGUGGAUCAGCAUGUCACGGUGAAUACGUUCCCGGGUCUU